GUGUGUGUAGCAGGAUUAGGUGAGCUGUGAUUGACAGCUACUGUCACCUAUCAGGAAGGGGCAGUCCCUUUUUAAGCACUGAUUGGCUGCUGCUCGGAAUGCGUCAUGUCCUGUGUUUCCCCCGGGUGUUUGUAGCAAUAGCGACAGCGUGUUUGUCCAGCGUACUGGUGCCCUUGUGCUGUUGGUGGCUUAAAUGACUGUGCACCCUCAGUUGGCUGUGGUUGACCUGUUGUAGGUUAAACAGUGCUGUAAAAGACGUUAAUGUGUCUGGGGUGAUGCCACUGUGCGGGUUCUCCCUUUUGUUCUACGUGGUUUCCUCUGGUUGCUGCCUGUUUGAGUCUCGUGCUGUUUUAUCGCACCGCUGUAACAUUACAUUAUUGUCACCGCUGUAAACCGGACUGUCCACUGUCUGGUUCCUGAACUUGAGUGUGUAUUAUCUUGAAGUGGAGGAUUAGCGCAUUGGAGCCGGCGUAUGGACUUUGGUGUUUGCGCAUUGACUUUCGUGUAGCUUCAGCUGCCAGUUUUCUUUGUUUGUUUGUUUUUGUUUCUAUUGUAAAAUUUGUAUAUUAUUGUUUUGAAUAUGUAUUUUGCUUAAUAUCCUUUCAGGAGCUGGGGUCCCCACGGGUGAGGGAUCUUGUGGUGGUGGUGGUACCGCUCAACGGUUCCCGUGUUACACAUUUGAAGUGUAUAAGUGUGUGUACAUUGAGUUCACGGUGUGGUGUGCGAAAGUGUGCUUUUGGACAACUUGUGCCAGUGAUCCCUCGAGUGGGUAACCUCAGCUCUGUAGGUUUGUGUAUUGUUUAAUUAGUUUAUUAUUUGUCUUUCUUUCCACGCACUGCAUUGUAGCAGUGUGGACCAUUAAACCUUAAAUUGUUUUGUAUUUUUGUGUAACUUUGUGAUUAUGAUGUUUUAUGUCAUUUGUUUUAUGUAUUUUGCUGCAGUGAGACAGAUUUGUUUUGAAUAAUGUUGUCUUCUGUCUAUUUUACACCUAGCUCAUUGACAUGAACAAAGAAUAUUGUGUAAUAAAAAUUUAUAUUUUUUGUACUAUACCCACGUUUUCUGCUCCCUUCACUUUUAAGAGGAACGAACCUGUGUGCCUUACCGCCUUUCUGGGUGUAAGGAAUAUUUCCCUGUGUGUAAGUCCCAGGGUGGCGUAGUCGGAAUUUUAUGUAAAAUCUUUGCUUUCGUCUUAAAGCUAAACUUUCACCCCCUCGUCAUGCCACAUGUGCAAGAA